rnacentral:rRNA from 1 species
UGAUCACUAUAGCAAAGUUGAUCCACUCCUUCCCAUCUCGAACAGGAAAGUUAAACGCUUUUGCGCCGAUGAUAGUAGAUGUACAUCUGUGAAAGUAGGUUAUGGUCAGGCU